rnacentral:pre_miRNA from 1 species
CAUGGCUUGGCCGUACCAUCUUAGCCCCCUCCUAAUGGGGGCUAAGAUGGUGCAGUGGAGAGUCAUC